rnacentral:rRNA from 1 species
GAUGAACGCUGGCGGCGUGCCUAAUACAUGCAAGUCGAGCGAACAGAUGAGAAGCUUGCUUCUCUGAUGUUAGCGGCGGACGGGUGAGUAACACGUGGGUAACCUACCUAUAAGACUGGGAUAACUCCGGGAAACCGGGGCUAAUACCGGAUAAUAUUUUGAACCGCAUGGUUCAAUAGUGAAAGACGGUUUCAGCUGUCACUUAUAGAUGGACCCGCGCCGUAUUAGCUAGUUGGUAAGGUAACGGCUUACCAAGGCGACGAUACGUAGCCGACCUGGGAGGGUGAGCGGCCACACUGGAACUGAGACACGGUCCAGACUCCUACGGGAGGCAGCAGUAGGGAAUCUUCCGCAAUGGGCGAAAGCCUGACGGAGCAACGCCGCGUGAGUGAUGAAGGUCUUCGGAUCGUAAAACUCUGUUGUUAGGGAAGAACAAAUUUGUUAGUAACUGAACAAGUCUUGACGGUACCUAACCAGAAAGCCACGGCUAACUACGUGCCAGCAGCCGCCGUAA